rnacentral:rRNA from 1 species
UGGGGAAUCUUGGGCAAUGGGCGGAAGCCUGACCCAGCCACGCCGCGUGCCGGAGGAAGGCCGAAAGGGUUGUAAACGGCUUUUCUGCGGGACUAAGUGGCGCCGAAGGGUGUCAUUGAAGGUACCGCAGGAAUAAGCACCGGCUAACUACGUG